GAUGAACGCUGGCGGCGUGCCUAAUACAUGCAAGUCGAGCGAACGGACGAGAAGCUUGCUUCUCUGAUGUUAGCGGCGGACGGGUGAGUAACACGUGGAUAACCUACCUAUAAGACUGGGAUAACUUCGGGAAACCGGCGCUAAUACCGGAUAAUAUUUUGAACCGCAUGGUUCAAAAGUGAAAGACGGUCUUGCUGUAACUUAUAGAUGGAUCCGCGCUGCAUUAGCUAGUUGGUAAGGUAACGGCUUACCAAGGCAACGAUGCAUAGCCGACCUGAGAGGGUGAUCGGCCACACUGGAACUGAGACACGGUCCAGACUCCUACGGGAGGCAGCAGUAGGGAAUCUUCCGCAAUGGGCGAAAGCCUGACGGAGCAACGCCGCGUGAGUGAUGAAGGUCUUCGGAUCGUAAAACUCUGUUAUUAGGGAAGAACAUAUGUGUAAGUAACUGUGCACAUCUUGACGGUACCUAAUCAGAAAGCCACGGCUAACUACGUG
rnacentral:rRNA from 1 species